GACGAACGCUGGCGGCGUGCUUAACACAUGCAAGUCGAGCGGAAAGGCCUCCUUCGGGGGGUACUCGAGCGGCGAACGGGUGAGUAACACGUGAGUAAUCUGCCCUCCACUCUGGGAUAACUGCUUGAAAGGGUGGCUAAUACCGGGUAUUCACAUGUCUGCGCAUGCGGGUGUGUGGGAAGGGUUUCUGGUGGGGGAUGUGCUCGCGGCCUAUCAGCUUGUUGGUGGGGUAAUGGCCUACCAAGGCUUUGACGGGUAGCCGGCCUGAGAGGGUGACCGGCCACACUGGGACUGAGACACGGCCCAGACUCCUACGGGAGGCAGCAGUGGGGAAUAUUGGACAAUGGGCGGAAGCCUGAUCCAGCAACGCCGCGUGAGGGAUGACGGCCUUCGGGUUGUAAACCUCUUUCAGCACAGACGAAGCUGGUCCCACGUGUGGGGCGGGUGACGGUAUGUGCAGAAGAAGCACCGGCCAACUACGUGCCAGCCGCCGCCGUAACAC
rnacentral:rRNA from 1 species